AUUGAACGCUGGCGGCGUGCUUAACACAUGCAAGUCGAUCGGUAACAGGUGUAGCAAUACAUGCUGACGAGAGGCGGACGGGUGAGGAAUAUUUGGGAAUCUGCCCAUCAGCGGGGGACAACCCGGGGAAACCCGGGCUAAUACCGCAUACGCUCUACGGAGGAAAGCCGGGGACCGCAAGGCCUGGCACUGAUGGAUGAGCCCAAAUCGGAUUAGCUAGUUGGCGGGGCAACGGCCCACCAAGGCGACGAUCCGUAGCUGGUCUGAGAGGACGAUCAGCCACACCGGAACUGAGACACGGUCCGGACUCCUACGGGAAGCAGCAGUGGGGAAUAUUGGACAAUGGGGGAAACCCUGAUCCAGCGACGCCGCGUGGGUGAAGAAGGCCUGCGGGUUGUAAAGCCCUUUCGGUAGGGACGAAAGCUCUUGCUCCAACAAAGCAGGAGGUUGACUUAACCUACAUAAGAAGCACCGGCUAACUCUGUGCCAGCCGCCGCAGUAACAC
rnacentral:rRNA from 1 species